AGUUAAUUACUGUAUUUUCAUCUGAGAGGGUGGGAAAAAAUACACACUGAAGCGCAAUCGCUCACACAACAAGGCUGGCGUUUCGUAUCUGCCUGUUGUCUAUGCUGUUGGUAAUUUUUUUUUUUUUUUAAGGUAUGGCGGUCUGCUGCUGUAUUUGGGUCAUGUCAGGAAGGGCGACCCUAGAGCCUGGGAGGCAGACCUGGGGCUGGCUGCUGUGGACUGUUUGUUUACGUUUGUGCCAGUGUGGGGCUGUGUGACCUGAGGCAAGUGGGCAGCAGCUCUGAUUUCAUACUGCGAUCUGAGAUGCCGAGAGAAGCGGAGGGAUCGGAAAAAUGGCUGCUCAACGUGCCUUUGUCUCUCUCUUCGUCCUCAGCAUCCACACCCACCCACCCACCCAACAAGUCUGAGCAGGAAACGUUCAAAGACCAGUGAACUGCAAACCCACUUGGCAUUUUUCAAAAGAAUCCAACUUAAAGAUAACCUUCGGUCAAGAUGAGGCGAUCAAGUCUCAAUUCCAGCUCUUCCGUGGACGUGGUUCCUAAAUAUCGAAACCCCAGUGGUCUUUAUCUGGACCAGCUGCUUCUGAUGUCUAGAAGGAAUGUGGCACAUCAAGUGUGUGAACACUGCCUCUAUUGUAUCCAAACAGGCUGAUUGAAGCCUGGAUAAUUGGCAUGUAACCUUCUCUAUUAAUAGUGCAGACAGAUAUGUGAAUUAGCUGAAUCCCUCCGACAUAUGCCAUGCAUUAGCUAAAGGGGCUUACAAUUCUCCAAACAUCUCGGCUAACUAUUACACCAAUAAUUAGGCUUUAGAACUUGAUAACUUUGGGGGGAAAUCAAUAAAUAAUGGCAACACU